AAUAAAAUUUUUCCGAUAAAUUCUUAAUUCUUAAGUUUUCUCUCAAGAUUAACUUUAAAAAAAUACAACAAACUUUAACUCAAAGAUUACGUAGUAAAAUCAAUCGAAUCAAUGAAAACGAUGAAAAUUAUAGAGAUCGAAUUGUAGAUCGAUUAAAUUAAAUUCUGAACGUUUGCUCUGACUGAAAGGGAACACUUAACACUUUUUCUUUUCAUUAUCGGUGUACGGGAUCAUCGGGCACGUUAUUCCAAAUGAACUCUGUGAAGCAACACGUAGCCACAAGGUACGCGAGAUCCGUGCCUCGCCCCUGAGGAACGGUGCGCUACGUUCUACCCCCGUGUGUUUCGUCCCCGUCCACGAAGACUCCGCCUUUUGGCACGGGAUUCGGAGGAAGAGGAUGUACUCGUGUACCAUCCCGUGAACGCGAGUCGGUUCUAGCGUGGGUGUCCGCGUGGAGGAGGAUCUUCGGGAGACCCCUCCUCCCUCGUAAAAACUUUCCCUUCCUUCCGAUCCUUCCUCCUCCUCCUCCUCCUCCUCCUCCUCUAGCGAGGUUCCUCGAUCGAGGUUUCACCACUUUGUGGAGUGGAAGACCGGCAGAAUGUGGAGGAGGAGAUUUCUGUGAAAAAGAGAGAGAGAGGGGGGGGGGGAGAGAGGGAGCGCGUACAGAUCGGAGAGUGAUGUACCGAUGAUAAGCCACGAGAUGUAGUCGACUCGGGGGAGUUCUUUCUGAUUCAUCCGAUGCCCCGCGUUUCUCGCCGCGGCUUUAAGCCUUGUCAGCGUCCGGAUCUCGAGGUGAGGACAAGCCCUGUUGACGAGAGGUGUGAGAUCCCGUCGUGAGAUGUCGAGCAACCUCUGAUAUUCGCCCAGGAUCUCGAACCUCGCUGAUUGCCUUGAAACGCUUAAUGAGCGGUCACGAAAGAUAAGCAUUCUACGAAUCUCCGUUCGCCGAUUUCCUUUUCUUUCCUUUUUUUUUUUUUUUUUUUUUUUUUGCCACUCCUCGGUGUUUCAAGUACAAAGACAAACGGUUUUGCAUCUCUUGCGGUAUUUUCGCGCGCCCGAUUGUUUUAUGCGAGUCGAAGAGUUUAGUUCCGCCCCCCUCCUCCCCAGGAAGGAAAACAGUGCCUUGGUCGAGGAAAAAAAUGAAAAAAGAUUGUACAAGUGCUUGAAACGUUUUGUUGUGCUUUUGUGAAAGUUUUUUGUUACUCGUCGAGUAGUGAUCAAAAUUGUGCGCGAUCAAGAUCAAGAAGAGGAAGUUUCUUUCUUUUUUUUUUUUUUUCUUCUAAAUAAAAAUCUCCGAAAAUAUAUAUAAAUUUUUAAAUUUUUAUUAUAUUAAAGUAAAAGUUCUCGAUUUCGAGUAAAUAAAUAAGUAAAUAAGUUUAUUAAUAAUAAUUAUUAAAAAUUAUUAAAAUAAUUAUUAAAAUAAACGGACAAUCAUUUCAUUGAUGCGACUCGAGAAUAUAAAAAGAUGCAACAGCAAUAUGAUCAACGACACGAUAUCACCGCUGAUUGUUGUUAUCAACAAUGGAUCUCUCAUCAUCAGAGCCAGCACGGUCAACCCGUGACGAAUUUACCGUCUCCGAUGCAACAAAUGGAAGCAUGUUUACAAUCGGCGGGAAGGGUGAAGCGAUCCCGCAGCCCGAAUCUGUCGAAGGGAUCGUUGACUGCCCAACCUACGAAUUCCACUCCCGUCUCCUCGUCGGCCGCCGUCGAGUCCCAGCGCAACGAUAGCAACAACAACAAUCAUCAUCACGGCGAUCAUCAUCCGACCGAGAACGGCGCGAAUUCGUCGGAGGAGAUUUGCUCGAAGAGGCCUCUUCACCCCGCCCUUGUAGGCGCCGGGGCCGCCCUCGAAGCGAAACCACUUUGGGAAGAGUUUCAUCAAUUGGGGACGGAAAUGAUCGUCACCAAAGCUGGAAGAAGGAUGUUUCCUACUUUCCAGUGUCGAUUCUUCGGAUUGGAUCCCGCCACCGAUUACCUCCUCGUCAUGGAUUUCGUACCCUGCGACGACAAGAGGUACAGAUACGCUUUUCAUAGCAGCGCUUGGGUGGUUGCCGGCCGAGCCGAUCCGGUCUCGCCCCCGAGAAUUCACGUACACCCCGACAGCCCCGCGAGCGGAGCUCACUGGAUGAAGCAACCGGUCUCCUUCGAUAAGUUGAAACUCACCAACAAUCAGCUCGACGACAACGGGCACAUAAUCUUGAAUUCGAUGCAUCGAUAUCAGCCACGAUGCCACGUAGUGGUGGCGCCCUCGCCACCGGGCUCUGCCCCGGAUCCACGGACCGAGAAUUUUAAAACAUUCACCUUUCCCGAGACGCGAUUCACCGCCGUCACCGCUUAUCAGAAUCAUCGUAUCACGCAGCUGAAGAUCGCGAGCAAUCCGUUCGCGAAAGGUUUUCGGGAUUGCGAGUCGGACGAGUGCGAGCCGGUUGCGGUUGUCCCGGGGAUGCAGAAUCCGGCGAAGAGGGCCGCGACAGGAAGUGGCAGCGUUUUGUCGUCCAACUACGUGAACGCUAUACCCACAGUGCAAAUUCCAAGCAUAUCAUCGGGCCAAGAGCAUCAUCAAUUUUACGGAGCAACCGCAGCCGGGCCUUGGCCAUACGCGGGACACCAUGGGCAACCGACUGCGCACAUGAAUUCCAUCCACUAUCCUCAUCAUUCUCAUCCUGGACCGUCAUUGUAUCACGGGCCACGGUAAUUCGGAUCAUCCUCCCUCCCUGAGAAUCAGAGAAUGACACGGUAAAAUUUGUGAAUCGUUGUGAUCGUAAUUCGAAUAGUGGAUAAAAAUAAUUAUCUAUUAAAUCGAAGAUGAAAAAGAAAGAAGAAGAAGAAGGGGAAAGAAAGAAAGAAAGAAAGAAGCAAAAAGUUAUUAAAAUUGGAGAAAAUUAGUGGAGCGUUCGUUGAUUCGUCGAUACCAAAGUAACGUGAUAAUAACGUGUCAGGUGAUAGAAGAUAAGUUUUUACACUGAAGAAUGAAUGAAUUUAUAUGAGUUAAUUUAACGAGUUACGUUUAAAUAAGAUAUACGAAAUAAAUAAAUAAGAAACAUUCGCUCGAAUGUUUGUAUCAAAGAUAUAAUGUAAACUAGCCUUAAGGAUAUAGAGUUAUUUAAAUUAUACACGUAUGUAACUGUCGUAGGUCCGUAGCGAGUCAGUCGAAAAAGAAAGUGCCUUUUGUAGGAGCAAAGUGCAUCUAUUUAUACAGGGUGUCUGAAAUGCCAAACGAGCUUAAAACGCUCUCGAGCCAAGACGGGAAAGUAAACGCACCGUGACAACCCAUGAGAGAACUCGGCUAUUAAGUGCCUUAAUAAAUUAUUCGACAAGUAUCAUGUACCAUUGUGUUUCGAAACUUUUUUGCCUUGCUUAUGUUAAACAACAUAUUUAAAAAAAGAAAAAUAAGAGCUUUAUAUAAGAAAAUGAGAAAAAAAAAUAUUAAUACCAACUAUUCAGAACUUUUAAUUAGUUCAUUUCACAAUCUCUUAUGAAUAUCCUCUCUUGUGAUUCCCUUCUAUAUACAUAACUCCUUUUUCUUAAAUUAUCCUUUCUUUUUUUUUUUGAACGUGGUACCUAAUUUUUUCACAUAAUUAUUUUACAAUCUCUUAUGAAUAUCCUCUCUUGUGAUUCCUUUCUAUAUAAUUCCUUUUCUUAAAUUUUUCUACAUAAUUCCUUUUUCUUAAAUCCUUUCUUAUCCUUUCUUUUUUUUUUUUUGAAUUCAAAAUUUAUCAAAGAAGUUUACCAAAUGGCUGCUGGA